AUGAGUCUUUUGGUGUGCAACUGUCGCGGCGCAGGCAAACCCGCGAUAGUUCGAGAGCUUCGUGAGAUGACGAAGCAGUUUGCCCCCUCGGUAAUAUGCAUAGUUGAAACUCAAGUAGAGGGUACCAGGGUGGAGAAUCUUGCAAAAACAAUAGGAUUUGAAAGUAGUUUCGCUGUCAGCAGCAAUGGUAGAAGCGGUGGUCUUUGUAUGUACUGGAACAAUGCAAUAAAGGUUGAGAUUAUUGGUUACUCGAGGUAUCAUAUAGAUGCUUUGAUAGAUGACAUGGUAGAAAGUAGAACUCGUGUCACCUUUGUCUAUGGGGAGGCGCAAGUCCCAGAGAGAUACAAAACUUGGGACACAUUGAGGGGGAUUGCAGGCAAUAGUACCUCCCCUGGGCAGUCAUUGGGGGUUUUAAUGAGGUGCUGCACGCACAUGAGCACGAUGGAGUUGGACAGCGUAGCCAAGCACAAAUGGACGCAUUUCGAGAUGCAAUCGAUACGUGUGGCCUCAUGGACAUUGGGUACAAAGGAAAAUUCUGGACGUUUGAGAAGAAGGUGUCAGGGGGGACGUACACGAGAGUCCGGCUGGAUAGAUGCCUAG
rnacentral:rRNA from 1 species